AUCGAUAAGAAGAUCAUUCGUAUUGUUUGCCAACCGCUAAAAAAGAAGUUGUUGUUUGCCAUGUUGCAUUCUACACAUUUUCAGUCCAAGCCUGAUGCAGGGCAGUCCUCCCGGGUUAAGGAGUCCCUGCUGCAGUUUCACCAGUAAAAAAAUUUACUUGUUACAAUUCACUUGGAGGACCACAUAAGCCAUGCAGUGAUGCAUGGAGAUGGACAGUAAAAAUCAACAGAAUGCCAUCAAAGACUACCUGGGGGGAGAAUCGAAUGAAGCAAAAGAUGUCUUUUUAUUCAUCUUUGAGUAUCUGGAGGAGCUGGACAUAUCAAAUUGUCUUGAUGAACAAGGCCUGAAGGUCCAUGCCAUGUUCUGUGAAUAAUCUAUUAGAGCAAGGAUUCUCUCUGUGUAGUCUAUGUGUGCAUGUAUGUAUGUAUGU